rnacentral:rRNA from 1 species
AGUAACGCGUGGGUAACCUGCCCCUUUUUGUGGGGGAACAACUUCGAGAAAUCGGAGCUAAUACCGCAUAAUAAUAGAGGAUCGCAUGAUUCUUUAAGGAAAGAUGGCCUCUGAAGAUGCUAUCGCAAAAGGAUGGACCCGCGUCUGAUUAGCUAGUUGGAAGGGUAACGGCCUACCAAGGCAACGAUCAGUAGCCGGCCUGAGAGGGUGAACGGCCACAUUGGGACUGAGACACGGCCCAAACUCCUACGGAAGGCAGCAG